CUACGUGAACUCUCCACGUGGAUAAACCGAAUCUAGGUAGCGAAUGAGGCUCUCUAAACAGUGAAGUCCCAAACUCUCUUCUCACUCGGACACACUCGCUGGCUCGCAAGCAAUAUGUCUUUGUUGUGUUUUGACUUUGGUUUAUACUUAGUACUUAGGAGAAGACACACCAAUAGGAGAUCUUCACGUGGUGGGUUUUUUCAUGUGUGUACACUUGAUUUCUUGUCCGUCCCAUACUUCUCAUUCCCGUCGGUAUGGUGGCCCCUCCCUUCUC